AAUAGGGUACUCUUAUAGCAUGUAGGGGUGUCACUAUAAUGUCCCAAGAAGAAAAAUUGUGAAAAGGGUAAUUUAUAUUCAUGCAUGUUAUUAGAACUUCAUGCAUAUGUGAUAUGCUUAAAAUGCUAGUUAUAGUCAUAUUGUAUGAUUAUGCUUUUCAUACUUAGAUAUAUGACUGGAUGUUAUGUUUAGUUGUUAUGAUUUUUAAGAUACAACUAUAUUUGUGCAUCAUUAUGAUUGAUUGAUUUAAGAUGUGCUUGAGACCACUAAAGCCCUCAAAAAAUCAUAUUAAGUCAUAGUGUUGUGAACCAGUAGCUGAUC
rnacentral:lncRNA from 1 species